CGAUACUUCUUCAUUUAGCAAUGUACAGAGAGUCUCAACAGUGAAAUUUUCCUGGCCACAUUUUGACACUGGAGAGGUCCCAGUGCAUAGAACCAUAGGAUUGAGAGGGAAGCUUAGAGACUAUCUUGUGUAACUUCUUCAUUUCGUAUGUGAUGAAAUAGAGAUGGAGACAUUGAGUAACCUCUCCAGUGCACCAUGGCUAAAUGCCCUUCUACUGACAGACAGGCCCAUUGUGUUCUGUCUUGUCCCCACUGCUGCUGAUGCUUGGCUC
rnacentral:lncRNA from 1 species